rnacentral:tRNA from 1 species
GAUCUUGAGAUCGGUUUUCCUGAUCAUUCUUGAAUUAAAAAUUCAAAGCUUUAAUUUAAGCUAUCAAGAU